rnacentral:rRNA from 1 species
AUUGAACGCUGGCGGCAGGCCUAACACAUGCAAGUCGAACGAGUGGCGGACGGGUGAGUAAUGUCUGGGCAACUGCCUGAUGGAGGGGGAUAACUACUGGCAACGGUAGCUAAUACCGCAUACCAUCGGAUGUUCCCAGAUGGGAUUAGCUAGUAGGUGGGGUAAAGGCUCACCUAGGCGACGAUCCCUAGCUGGUCUGAGAGGAUGGCCCGCCACAUGGGAACGGAGACACGGCCCAGACUCCUACGGGAGGCAGCAGUGGGGAAUAUUGCACAAGGGGCGCAAGCCUGAUGCAGCCAUGCCGCGUGUAUGAAGAAGGCCUUCGGGUUGUAAAGUACGUUCAGCGGGGAGGCGUUACCCGCAGAAGAAGCACCGGCUAACUCCGUGCCAGCAGCCGCGGUAAUUC